UUGGGAAGGUUUACUUGCUCAAUUUGAGCAUUUUGAUAUUUGAAGGCAAAAUAUUAGUAACGACAGUUAUUUGAAUAAAAUGGCAUUAUUACAUUGUAGAGUUACUGAUUUUUUUAAAAAUAUAUAAUUUGAAAGUAACGUGACCUUUUUCAUUUCAGCCUUUAGUUAAUGAAGCUAAACUUGCAGUGGGAAACAUUAAGCCAGAAUCUCUUUCAGAAAUUCGCUCACUACGUAUGCCACCUGAUAUAAUCCGAGACAUUCUGGAAGGAGUUUUAAGGUUGAUGGGCAUUUUUGAUACCUCUUGGGUGAGCAUGAAAAGUUUCCUUGCUAAAAGAGGUAUCAGAGAAGACAUUGCAACCUUUGAUGCACGAAAUAUUCCAAAGGAAAUAAGAGAGAGUGUUGAAGAACUUCUUUUCAAAAAUAAAGGUUCUUUUGAUCCAAAGGUAAAUUUUAACAGUUGUACCAUAAUUUUCUUUUCUUUACUACAUAAUUUU
rnacentral:lncRNA from 1 species